UGGGGAAUUUUGGACAAUGGGGGCAACCCUGAUCCAGCAAUGCCGCGUGUGUGAAGAAGGCCUUCGGGUUGUAAAGCACUUUUGUCCGGAAAGAAAACGUCGUGGUUAAUACCCGUGGCGGCUGACGGUACCGGAAGAAUAAGCACCGGCUAACUACGUGCCAGCAGCCGCGGUAAUACGUAGGGUGCAAGCGUUAAUCGGAAUUACUGGGCGUAAAGCGUGCGCAGGCGGUCCGCUAAGACAGAUGUGAAAUCCCCGGGCUUAACCUGGGAACUGCAUUUGUGACUGGCGGGCUAGAGUAUGGCAGAGGGGGGUAGAAUUCCACGUGUAGCAGUGAAAUGCGUAGAGAUGUGGAGGAAUACCGAUGGCGAAGGCAGCCCCCUGGGCCAAUACUGACGCUCAUGCACGAAAGCGUGGGGGAGCAAACAGGAUUAGAUACCCUGGUAGUCCACGCCCUAAACGAUGUCAACUAGUUGUCGGGUCUUCAUUGACUUGGUAACGUAGCUAACGCGUGAAGUUGACCGCCUGGGGAGUACGGUCGCAAGAUUAAAACUUAAAUGAAUUGAC
rnacentral:rRNA from 1 species